rnacentral:rRNA from 1 species
UACGUAGGGGGCGAGCGUUGUCCGGAUUUAUUGGGCGUAAAGAGCUCGUAGGCGGUUUGGUAAGUCGGGUGUGAAAUCUCCACGCUCAACGUGGAGGGGCCACUCGAUACUGCCAUGACUCGAGUCCGGUAGAGGAGUGUGGAAUUCCCGGUGUAGCGGUGAAAUGCGCAGAUAUCGGGAGGAACACCCGUAGCGAAGGCGGCACUCUGGGCCGGAACUGACGCUGAGAAGCGAAAGCAGGGGGAGCGAACAGG